CUGGAGGUAUCAGAAGUGCGAAUGCUGACAUAAGUAACGAUAAAGCGGGUGAAAAGCCCGCUCGCCGGAAGACCAAGGGUUCCUGUCCAACGUUAAUCGGGGCAGGGUGAGUCGACCCCUAAGGCGAGGCCGAAAGGCGUAGUCGAUGGGAAACGGGUUAAUAUUCCCGUACUUGGUGUUACUGCGAAGGGGGGACGGAGAAGGCUAUGUUGGCCGGGCGACGGUUGUCCCGGUUUAAGCGUGUAGGUGUGUGUUCCAGGUAAAUCCGGUUCACUUUAACACUGAGGCGUGAUGACGAGGCACUACGGUGCUGAAGCAACAAAUGCCCUGCUUCCAGGAAAAGCCUCUAAGCAUCAGGUAACAUCAAAUCGUACCCCAAACCGACACAGGUGGUCAGGUAGAGAAUACCAAGGCGCUUGAGAGAACUCGGGUGAAGGAACUAGGCAAAAUGGUGCCGUAACUUCGGGAGAAGGCACGCUGACACGUAGGUGAAGUGAUUUACUCAUGGAGCUGAAGUCAGUCGAAGAUACCAGCUGGCUGCAACUGUUUAUUAAAAACACAGCACUGUGCAAACACGAAAGUGGACGUAUACGGUGUGACGCCUGCCCGGUGCCGGAAGGUUAAUUGAUGGGGUCAGCGCAAGCGAAGCUCCUGAUCGAAGCCCCGGUAAACGGCGGCCGUAACUAUAACGGUCCUAAGGUAGCGAAAUUCCUUGUCGGGUAAGUUCCGACCUGCACGAAUGGCGUAAUGAUGGCCAGGCUGUCUCCACCCGAGACUCAGUGAAAUUGAACUCGCUGUGAAGAUGCAGUGUACCCGCGGCAAGACGGAAAGACCCCGUGAACCUUUACUAUAGCUUGACACUGAACAUUGAGCCUUGAUGUGUAGGAUAGGUGGGAGGCUUUGAAGUGUGGACGCCAGUCUGCAUGGAGCCGGCCUUGAAAUACCACCCUUUAAUGUUUGAUGUUCUAACGUGGACCCGUGAUCCGGGUUGCGGACAGUGUCUGGUGGGUAGUUUGACUGGGGCGGUCUCCUCCUAAAGAGUAACGGAGGAGCACGAAGGUUGGCUAAUCCUGGUCGGACAUCAGGAGGUUAGUGCAAUGGCAUAAGCCAGCUUGACUGCGAGCGUGACGGCGCGAGCAGGUGCGAAAGCAGGUCAUAGUGAUCCGGUGGUUCUGAAUGGAAGGGCCAUCGCUCAACGGAUAAAAGGUACUCCGGGGAUAACAGGCUGAUACCGCCCAAGAGUUCAUAUCGACGGCGGUGUUUGGCACCUCGAUGUCGGCUCAUCACAUCCUGGGGCUGAAGUAGGUCCCAAGGGUAUGGCUGUUCGCCAUUUAAAGUGGUACGCGAGCUGGGUUUAGAACGUCGUGAGACAGUUCGGUCCCUAUCUGCCGUGGGCGCUGGAGAACUGAGGGGGGCUGCUCCUAGUACGAGAGGACCGGAGUGGACGCAUCACUGGUGUUCGGGUUGUCAUGCCAAUGGCACUGCCCGGUAGCUAAAUGCGGAAGAGAUAAGUGCUGAAAGCAUCUAAGCACGAAACUUGCCCCGAGAUGAGUUCUCCCUGAGACUUAGAGUCUCCUGAAGGAACGUUG
rnacentral:rRNA from 1 species